GCUUUCCUGCGGUGUUUGAAAAGGCUCAUAUUCUUAGAACCGAUUCACAUACCCCGGUUGCCAGCCACUCAAUGCCUGUUGUGAGCGUUCCCUAGCUGAACGCACCUGAUGGCACAGGCCGGCGACCCCUUGAACCUCAGGGUUCAAGAUGCGAGCCAGAUCGGCACUUGCGGGAAAGCC
rnacentral:other from 1 species